rnacentral:rRNA from 1 species
AUUGAACGCUAGCGGGAUGCUUUACACAUGCCAGUCGAACGGCAGCGCGGACUUCGGUCUGGCGGCGAGUGGCGAACGGGUGAGUAAUGUAUCGGAACGUGCCCAGUAGCGGGGGAUAACUACGCGAAAGCGUAGCUAAUACCGCAUACGCCCUACGGGGGAAAGCAGGGGAUCGUAAGACCUUGCACUAUUGGAGCGGCCGAUAUCGGAUUAGCUAGUUGGUGGGGUAACGGCUCACCAAGGCGACGAUCCGUAGCUGGUUUGAGAGGACGACCAGCCACACUGGGACUGAGACACGGCCCAGACUCCUACGGGAGGCAGCAGUGGGGAAUUUUGGACAAUGGGGGCAACCCUGAUCCAGCCAUCCCGCGUGUGCGAUGAAGGCCUUCGGGUUGUAAAGCACUUUUGGCAGGAAAGAAACGUCGCGGGCUAAUACCCCGUGGAACUGACGGUACCUGCAGAAUAAGCACCGGCUAACUACGUG